GCCCUCGCUCACUUCCUUGACUAGUACUUUACUGAACUUCAGUUCCUGAGGGACAACCAGACAUCCUCCUGUAUGUGCUGAACAGGACCAACCCUUUGAGAACAUUGCGCUGGUGGGCACAAUCACCAUGAUUUUAUUGCUACAAUUGAGUGAUACACAAUCUGUAUUGUAAAUUAGCAAUAAGGUAGAUCAAAGGUAAUAAUAAAAUAAAGUAUAUAUCAUUCUUAAUGGUGUCUUAGCUCCAUUAUCACAUGCUUUUUAUGCAUUGUCAUCACAUGUUCAGAUUUAUGGCACAGUGUUGUAAUUCUCUUUGAUCAACAGGGGGCAGUCUAAUCUCACGCUAUAUGACAAGACAAUUUGAGACUUGUGAUAAGAGUACGUAAAUGGUUUACUAUCGAAUCAUGUGGCUUUACGGCUGUGUAAUAAAGUGCGCUAUAACUCCAGUGUCUGGUGUCCGCUGGCUGUAACAGCAUCUCCAUYUGGAAUAGCUCAGGGUUCCAGUGGAGCUGCUGUUAUGGGCGGAGAGACACCUCUGGUCGUCACCCUGGAUGKACUGUGUAGACCUAAAUCUACUMUAUGUGACGUUGUCUGUGCGCUUGUAUGUACUGUACUUGAGUAGGCCUUUUAAUACUAAUGUAUUUAUAUGGUGUUUCUUUUCAGUGUUUCUUUUCACAAUAAAAAUACUGGCAUUUA